rnacentral:rRNA from 1 species
AUUGAACGCUGGCGGCAUGCCUUACACAUGCAAGUCGAACGGCAGCACGGGUGCUUGCACCUGGUGGCGAGUGGCGAACGGGUGAGUAAUUCAUCGGAACGUACCUUAUCGUGGGGGAUAACGCAGCGAAAGCUGUGCUAAUACCGCAUACGCCCUGAGGGGGAAAGCGGGGGAUCGAAAGACCUCGCGCGAUUAGAGCGGCCGAUGCCUGAUUAGCUUGUUGGUGGGGUAAAAGCCCACCAAGGCGACGAUCAGUAGCUGGUCUGAGGGGACGAGCAGCCACACUGGGACUGAGACACGGCCCAGACUCCUACGGGAGGCAGCAGUGGGGAAUUUUGGACAAUGGGGGCAACCCUGAUCCAGCAAUGCCGCGUGAGUGAAGAAGGCCUUCGGGUUGUAAAGCCCUUUUGUCAGGGAAGAAACACCGGCUCUAACACAGUCCGGGAAUGACGGUACCUGAAGAAUAAGCACCGGCUAACUACGUGCCAGCCGCCGCAGUAA